rnacentral:rRNA from 1 species
GACGAACGCUGGCGGCGUGCCUAAUACAUGCAAGUCGAACGCAGUGGGGACGGGUGAGUAACACGUGGGUAACCUCCCAUCAGAGGGGAUAACACUUGGAAACAGGUGCUAAACCGAUACUGAUGGAUGAACUAGCGGUGCAUUAGCUAGUUGGUGAGGUAACGGCUCACCAAGGCCACGAUGCAUAGCCGACCGGAGAGGGUGAUCGGCCACACUGGGACGGAGACACGGCCCAGACUCCUACGGGAGGCAGCAGUGGGGAAUCUUGGGCAAUGGACGAAAGUCUGACCGAGCAACGCCGCGUGAGUGAAGAAGGUUUUCGGAUCGUAAAACUCUGUUGUUAGAGAAGCGGUAUCUAACCAGAAAGCCACGGCUAACUACGUGCCAGCAGCCGCGGUAAUAC